rnacentral:rRNA from 1 species
GCGAAUUCUUGGAUCGGAGACGGCCUGGCAAUCCCAAAUGUUGUAGACA